rnacentral:rRNA from 1 species
GAUGAACGCUGGCGGCGUGCCUAAUACAUGCAAGUCGAACGAACAGACGAGGAGCUUGCUCCUCUGACGUUAGCGGCGGACGGGAGAGUAACACGUGUAUAACCUACCUAUCAGACUGGGAUAACUUCGGGAAACCGGAGCUAAUCCCGGAUAAUAUAUUGAACCGCAUGGUGCAAUAGUGAAAGACGGUUUUGCUGUCUCUAAUAGAUGGAUCCGCGCCGCAUUAGCUGGUUGGUAAGGUCACGGCUUACCAAGGCAAGGAUGCGUAGCCGACGUGAGAGGGUGGUCGGCCACACUGGAACUUGAACACGGUCCAGACUCCUACGGGAGGCAGCAGUAGGGAAUCUUCCGCAAUGGGCGAAAGCCUGACGGAGCGACGCCGCGUGAGUGAUGGAGGUCUUGGGUUCGUAAAACUCUGUUAUUAGGUAAGAACAAAUGUGUAAGGAACUAUGCACGUCGUGACGGUACCUGAUCAGAAAGCCACGGCUAACUACGUG